GCCGAGGUAGCUCAAUGGCAGAGCAACUGUUUUGUAAACAGAAGAUCGGGGAUCGUUCCCCCGCCUCGGCUCCA
rnacentral:tRNA from 1 species